UGGAACAUGUGCUCUUUAAGAAUUUGUCCAGUAGGUUUCUUCAAGGAGAAAGCCCAC
rfam:Salmo salar isolate Sally breed double haploid chromosome ssa12, whole genome shotgun sequence.